UUAAAGGGUGAAGAGGGGGGAAAAACAGCUUCCAGAAGAAAACAACAGCUCAAGCUCCAGGAGCCAGAUCUUAGCAUGAGAACCCGACCCAGUGUGGGGGAGGGCUGUGUCAGAUCUCUGCAUGCCCGAGGAGCAAGUAUUCACUGCCUGCCGAAAAGCCACAGAGCUCAGACCCUAUUUGAAAGAGUAACAUCUUUGAUAUAAAAAAAACAACCAACCAACAAUCCAAAACCACCCAUCCAAUAAAAAGCCUCAGACAUACAGGAUCCCAUUCAUGGUGGGAGGGAUUUAGUGGAAGUAUUUUCCUUCUUUAAGGUUUGGCACAGCCUUAAAGGAGUCUCUUUAAAAGCUUCCAGAGCCGAUUAUAUUUUGGAUUGUGUUUCAAAUCACCCUUCCCCCCCAGGUUUGGUGGGUCCUCAGACAAGUUCCCAGAAUAAAUUAGACAUAACGGUAGCAGGAUUUUUUUUUUUUUUUUAACUUGAGAAGAAGGAAGGAAUAAAUGACACCAAUUUCUGUAAUGGAAAGAAAAAAAGAAAAAGUGUAUCUCGGAAACUGCUGCUGAGUGACUCAUGCUGCCAGACAAACGGAACCUCACUCAUCACUCCAUCUUCAUCCUCCUCUGGUUACUUUUCCUUACACCUGGAGUUGCCUUGAGUUCGACUGUGCAUGGUGUGAAAAUAGCCAUGAAGAGGUAAACAAGCAGCCUGAUGGAAGGUUUCAGUGGUGGGCUGCAGGCAAAGCCAAAGUCUGGGAUGACAGCAGCAGCCACACUAGAAAAGGCUGACCUGAUUCAUGGCAUCACAGUUCACAGUCACUUCAAAUUUUCUCACCAGCUUGCUAAGCUGCUUAGGCCUUGCAGAAGCUUUCUGGAGAGGUAAUUUGUGUGCCAAAGUUAUAUGUGCUGUUAAAGUUACUCAAGGUUUUUGGUGUUUGACUGACUGUCCACUCACCUUUCCCUAUCUUGAACUCUUUGCAGUUUUUAAAUAACAUAAGAAGUUGGGGAAUUCUUUUUUCUUUCAGAGUAUUUUUUAAGGUGAUCUUUGUCCAUGUGGAAGUUAAAAUACUUGUAGCUUAUCGUCCUGGUGGUUGCCCUUUAUCUUUCAAGG